UACAGAGAGUGCAAGCGUUAUUCGGAUUCACUGGGCGUAAAGGGUGCGCAGGCGGCCGAGUGUGUGAGGCGUGAAAGCCCGGGGCUUAACCCCGGAAUUGCACCUCAAACUACACGGCUAGAGCAUUGGAGAGGGUAGCAGAAUUCAUGGUGUAGCAGUGAAAUGCGUAGAUAUCAUGAGGAAUACCAGAGGCGAAGGCGGCUACCUGGACAAUUGCUGACGCUCAGGCACGAAAGCUAGGGGAGCGAACAGG
rnacentral:rRNA from 1 species